GAUGAACGCUGACAGAAUGCUUAACACAUGCAAGUCUUUGGCGAAGCUGUGCUUGCACAGCCUAGCCAAGGCGGACGGGUGAGUAACGCGUAAGGAACUUGCCCUGCAGUCAGGGAUAACAGACGGAAACGACUGAUAAGACCUGGUAAAGUCAGGCGGACUCAUGUCCAGCCUGAUGAAAAGAGAUGCUGCAGGAGAGCCUUGCGUCCUAUUAGCUUGUUGGUAGGGUAACGGCCCAACAAGGCGAUGAUAGGUAGCCGGCCUGAGAGGGUGGACGGCCACAAGGGGACUGAGAUACGGCACUUACUCCUACGGGAGGCAGCAGUGGGGAAUAUUGGACAAUGGGGGCAACCCUGAUCCAGCAAUUCGGUGUGCACGAUGAAGGUUUUCGGAUUGUAAAGUGCUUUCAGCAGGGAAGAAAAAAAUGACGGUACCUGCAGAAGAAGCGACGGCUAAAUACGUG
rnacentral:rRNA from 1 species